rnacentral:rRNA from 1 species
GCUGACGAGUGGCGGACGGGUGAGUAAUGUCUGGGAAACUGCCUGAUGGAGGGGGAUAACUACUGGAAACGGUGGCUAAUACCGCAUAACGUCGCAAGACCAAAGAGGGGGACCUUCGGGCCUCUUGCCAUCAGAUGUGCCCAGAUGGGAUUAGCUUGUUGGUGAGGUAACGGCUCACCAAGGCGACGAUCCCUAGCUGGUCUGAGAGGAUGACCAGCCACACUGGAACUGAGACACGGUCCAGACUCCUACGGGAGGCAGCAGUGGGGAAUAUUGCACAAUGGGCGCAAGCCUGAUGCAGCCAUGCCGCGUGUAUGAAGAAGGCCUUCGGGUUGUAAAGUACUUUCAGCGGGGAGGAAGGUGUUGUGGUUAAUAACCRCAGCAAUUGACGUUACCCGCAGAAGAAGCACCGGCUAACUCCGUGC